UUUGCACAAACUUGUGAAUAUACUAAAAAUUACUGAAUUGCAUAUUUGUAAGGAGUAAGUUUUGUGAUAGGAGAAUUAUAAUUCUAAGAAAAGAUUCAGUGGUUAUAUCCAUCCAAGCAAUGUGAAGAAAAAUUUCUAAUUAAAAUGUAUAGUUUUCAACCAAGUUGCAUAAUACUACUAAAAGAAAAUAUGAAAAGUCAAUGUGUUGAUAUUUUAUAGUUACUUGGAACAUUUUCCUCCCUGGCUAGACUAAUUUUUCUAUGACAUCUAAAAUAAGGACUAAAUUUCAACAACUAUGAGAUUCAUUUUUUUUAUGAUACUCACAAUUUAAAAAUUCCCAAUUUAAACACAGAGCGCUUAGCACUGCGUAUUAUUCUGCUUUCUAAAUUUUCUCAGAUUAGCAUUCUUUGUCCAAGAGCAAUAUAUGCAAAGUAGGCCAGCAGGCUAGAGAUGGAGGCAAGAAGUGGAAUUCAAGUCUGAAGGCAGUCUCUUAGUAGAACUUUCUCCUUCCUCUGAGGAGGUCACUCUUCCUGAUUGUUUUAAAAUCAACUGUUUGGAUAAGGCCUACUCACAUUACAGAGGAUAAUCUGUUUUAAUCAAAGUCUACCAAUUUAAAUGUUAAGCUCAUCUAAAACAAACAAACAAACAAAGAAACCACCUUCACAAAAACAUCUAGCAUAAUGUCUGACCCAAUAUCUGGGUACUGUGGCAUAGACAAGCUGACACACAAAAUUAACCAUCAGGGACAUGAUAUGAUAACAAGUGUGUUAGGUCUUUUUCUGGAAUUCUGAGUUCCCCUUCAACUAUCUCUGUUAUUCUCAGCGAGGGACUUCACCUCUCUAAACCUCAAUACCUUAAUUGUAAAAUGUGAGGAGAUAUUGAAAUUUAGUAUGCAGAAUAAAAAAUAAGGGUUGUGGGGGGUCAAGCUAACCUACUUCAUCUCCUCCCCCCAUUAAACUUUACAUCACAUGCCAGUGAGUGCCUUGAGAAAUCAGAGACUUAGUACUGAUUUUAAAAUGCCCAAUAUUUGCUGUGAUCUAUAGAAUGGGAUAGCUAUGGGAUAUAUUGAAAAGAAAUCUACUAAUACUUGCAGGUGGCCUAAAUUUUGAAGAAUAGUUUAUGUUUAUAUAUGUAUGUAUGCAUGCAUUUAUAUAUUUUUGUCUUUUGCAUAGAUAAGGCUAAAUAGAAGAAUAUAAGAAAUACAUAGAUUCUUUCACAUUGUACUGUAUUUCAAUGGCACCCUCAGAACCUGUGCAACAUAGCAUUACUGAAUCUUUGCAAAUCCUUCCCUCUUCACUUAACCCCAAAAGAAAAAAAUUAUAAGUAUGCCUUCAUUUUGUCUCUUAUAUAUCAUGUGUCUCCAACUAUAGAAGCUUCAUCUAAAUCUCUGAGUCUCCCCUAAGCACCACGUUCCUAAAUUGCCUCUCUACCUCAUCACAACCUAAUGAACCCAUGAAUGACUCAUUCUUGCAAGUUCUUAUUAGCAAUGAGGUAAAUAGCAAUCUUAUCAAGAUUCAACUGUUUCUAACAGAAAACCACCAUGUAUCAACCAUAUGCUAGAUUUCUUCACUGUUGUUAAUGGGUAUAAAUGCUAGUCAGUCAACCCCAUCGGGGCUCUUAACACUCCUGUGAAAUAAUUGUCCUUACACCUAGAAGACCUUUCUUAUAUUCUCUAAAUUGAUUACUUCUCACAUUUCUCACUUUUGUUAAUCUGGAUACCUCAUGCCUACUAACCUAUCUGAAGUUAAUAACCUGAACUUACACGCUACUGAGAAAAGAGACCAUCAGGAACUAACCUUUUAAACUUCCCAUUACAGGCUUCUACUGAUCUACAGUAGCAUCCCACAUUAUGAUUUUUUUUAAGAUUCAUUAAUUUAUUUGAGAGAGAGAGAGCACAUGUGCAUGGGGUGGUGGGGCAGAGGAAGAGGGUGAGAGAGUCCCAAGCCAACUCUAUACUGAGCAUGGAGCCCAAUGCAGGGCUUGAUCCCACAACACCAAGAUCACCACCCAAGACAGAACCAAGAGUCAACGCCCAACUGACUGCGCCACCCAGGCGCCCCACAUCCCACAUUAUUUUCAUGUCAUUUUACGCAGAGAGACACACAUUCCUUGUUUUUCAAAGCCAAUCUCUGCCCUUAUUCUUUCCACCUCCUCCGGGAACUUGGCCCAUCACUAUUGCCUUCUGUUUCUCAUAUUUUUUAGUACCUUUAAUCUCUUCCUCAACAUACAACCAUACCCAAGCAAUUCUCAUAAUUAAGAACAUGACAAAAAUAAAAGAGUUUCCACCUAAAUGUGACUCCAAAGGCUUCCACUUGCAGCCAAGAUAGUUAAGAUUUACCCUUCCAUCUGCAACAACCACAAAACAAAAUAUAAGAAACAGAGGUUCUCGAAACAUUGGCAUGAAGUAGUGAAGGUCAGUGUACCCUAAGAGAUGGGAAACUAUUAAGGCAAGCCCUAAAAUUGCUACUGUCCCAGCUAUUGCCACGACAAAGGACUAGAGGCUUAGGAGCAGAAAGGGAGAAACCAGGCACAAUCACUGAAUGAAGACAGCUGAUACUGCAGAGAGCAAGGUAGCUAGAAUUCACAGAACAGAUUCCAGAAAGUAGGGAACCAUCCAGGGAGAGAAUUUAAAGACCUGCAGAGGAUCCCCCUAGAGUAAUCAGCUGAUUGACAAGGGCAUAAGAGGAAACAAUCAGAGGCUUGAAGGAAGAACCACCAAAAAAAGAUUAAAGGGAGCAGUGCCAGAUACUCCCACAGGGCCAGGAACAAUACCUGCUUCAGAUGGACUGGAAAGUCUCAGGGUUCACAGGACAUUGAGUUGAGUGGGCCUAAGACUUCUGCCUCAGUAGGGGGAAUGAUUAGCUCUAGAAUGAGCUAAUCUGAUUCCUACUACCAAUCUCAAGAAGAAGACCAAAAAGAAUUACACCAUGUCCAAGUAACUUAACUGAAUCCCAGAACAAAGAUGAACAGCAUUUACAGGAAUACAGAUAUCCGGCACCUAACAGGCAAAAUUUAUAAUGUCUGGCAUCUAAACAAAAAUGUCUAGGCAUGUGAAGCAGCAGAAAAAUGUGACCCAUAAUUAAGAGACAAAAAUGACUGUAAACGACCCAGUCACAGAGCAAAUAUGUUGGCUAGGCCUGCUUCCCUUUGCUGCUUUAGUGGCAGCAACCACUAAGAUGGAGUCCUACUCCAUCCAGCAUCCUAAUCUAAGCAGACACCCAGGAGAGUCUCCCUCCUCCCAUGGGACACUUAUGCUCCUCUUAUCUGCAGAGGUACUCAGCUCUGGGAUUCUUCUGCCUGGAGGGGACCCUGAAGAACUGCCAAAAGCUUCAACCCUACUCAUCAUUCAGUUUCUAUUUCAGUCCUGGUCCACACAGGUGUUUUUCUUGCUUUUGGACACAGCUCUUUCCAGUCUUCUAUUUUUACGUUUUAACUCUGAUGACCAUGUGUUUGGAGCACAAGGGAAGCUUCAAAAUGGGAUCUUACCAUACCAUCUCAACUGGAAGUCCCCACACAUUCUGUCCUGAAACACCUCCCUUGCUUUCCAUGAUGGUAUUCUCUUUUGGUUUUCCUCUCACCUCUCCGAUUACUGUUUUUCUCUAAAUCCUCCUUCUCUGCCUACCCAGUAAACUUUUAAGGGCUCCAUUCUCUCCCUAAUUUAUGAUAAAAAGCUUAAUUUGAAUAUGUAAUUACAUAUUACAAAUGGCCUUUAAAGCUAGAUAUCAUUUUUUUUUUAAGAUUUUAUUUAUUUAUUCAUGAGAAUACACAGAAAGGAGAGAGAGAGAGAGGCAGAGACACAGGCAGAGGGAGAAGCAGGCUCCACGCAGGGAGCCCGACAUGGGACUCGAUCCCGGAUCUCCAGGAUCACGCCCUAGGCUGAAAGCAGCGCUAAACUGCUGAGCCACCAGAGCUGCCCCGCUAGAUAUCAUUUUUAUAAGAAACAGUCUUGUUGGGAUGUUUAUAAUAAAUGUAAUUCUUCAAUAAUUUAAAAUUAACCCUGGGGUUGUGGCAAGUAUAGUACACGAAAAGCAGGCAAAUAAAUAAGCUCCAUUUGCAAACAGGAAAUAUUCCUUAGAGGUCCACUCAGCUAAUGAGAAAUGUAAUUGGGUCUCUGUAAGUGUUGAUAGUAGGGUAGAGUGCAUAGGAAUAAACUGAGUUGGUUAAAUGAAGGGCAAAUUAUGGUUUGAGUGUGUACCUCCCAUUAAUUAUGGGUGAAGGCCAGAUGGUGUUCUUGUGUUUGUGAACGUUUUCAACCACCACGUAUUUACGUAGUGCCCUUCACAAGCUGCUAGACACUGGGGAUGCCCAGGUGAACAAGACAGUCUCUGCCUCCACUGAGUUUACAGUUUAGUCUUUCAUCUCUUUUUAAUUCUGCUCCUUGUCUUCCAUGAAGGAAGUUGCCCGAAUGUGACAGUCUAAGAGGGAAUGGAGGCAGGGGGAUGAAUCAAGGUAUGAGGGUCCCUUAUAUAGUUGUUUCCAACAUCACCAAGGAGUUCUGCUUGAGAAUCAAACGUAAAGAAGAAUAUGGCAAGGUAGUUUUUUUUGUUUUUUUGUUUUUUGUUUUUUCCCUGAAAGCUAAUUGGCUCGUUAUCCUUGCUAAUUGGGCAGAGCAGCACAAAUAAACCGAGGGGGGGAAAAUCAAGAAACAGUGGGCACAUUUCCCAAAACACCUCCCUGUUCUCUGAUCACCUCCGAGAGCUCAUUUUAGAAUUGGAGGUCAGAGAGGCUUGGGGUUUAGGGAAACAAAGUUUGUAUGUAAAUAAGCCAGGCCCCUCUUUUACAGCGGAGUUGAUUAAGGGACUGGUUGACAAAGUGUACAGAAUCCCUGCUCUCUGACACCACAAAGUAUCUAUUACAUGAGAACUUCCUUCUGGCGCCAGGAGGCAUUUAGUUUUCACUUGGGUGUUCUAUAGGGGAUGAGGCACAUGGGGGCGGGGAGUGGAAGGUUGGGGGCUAGUAAAAUGAGAACAACUCUGAGCAGGGGAAUGACACUAUUGGGAGAGGACGUACGAAAAGGAUAGGAUGGCAGGAGAGAGGAUGGGGACAAUAUAUGUAAUGUCAAAGAGAAAGUGAAGAUGGGGAAAAUAACAUAAUAACGGACCUUGAACAAUGCUCUACAGUUUCCAGGGGUGCCUGAACAUGGGGAGGUGGCUGUACAUAGAGAAACAACUCUGAGAUGGUGAGCAAGCAGCUCAAGGCCACUCAGCUGAUGGACGCGGAAAUCUUCUAACUUCCACAGCAAAGGGAACUCGUUGCAGUAGGAGCCACAUGGCAGGAUGUUCUUCUCUCCUAGGCUAACUCCACAAUUAACAAGGCUUGCGACCACAUACUGGAGACCAGAGCUGUGCGCUGUACUUCAAGGGAUGUUCUUGGUAAUGGAAUAUUUUCACACUUCCAAAACACUGUGGCUAAACCCUAAAAGAAAAAUCUCCUGGCACAGAAGUUCCUUAGCUUCUGCCCAAAAAUGAAAGGCUGUCUCAAGGGAUUUUUUUUUUCUUUUUUAAAAUAAGAUUGCUCUCAGACGAGUUCACCCUUUAGGAUGCUCCAAAGCAAUGAGGCUCAGGGGCUCAGCAAACAGGCCUCCUCCUUCGCAGGACUUCACCACAGGGCUUUUUUUUUCUCCCUGAGAACUGGGGUGUUUUACUCCGUUAAUGCAGUUGUCAAAGUCAUUUGCAGGAGACACGCAGCGUUCCACUGGCAGGGGACAGUAUACCUUGGUGUUGGCUACCUAGAAUCCACAGAGAGUGCUUAAAAAAAAAAAAAA
rnacentral:lncRNA from 1 species